AUUGAACGCUGGCGGCAGGCCUAACACAUGCAAGUCGAGCGGAUGAAGGGAGCUUGCUCCUGGAUUCAGCGGCGGACGGGUGAGUAAUGCCUAGGAAUCUGCCUGGUAGUGGGGGAUAACGUCCGGAAACGGGCGCUAAUACCGCAUACGUCCUGAGGGAGAAAGUGGGGGAUCUUCGGACCUCACGCUAUCAGAUGAGCCUAGGUCGGAUUAGCUAGUUGGUGGGGUAAAGGCCUACCAAGGCGACGAUCCGUAACUGGUCUGAGAGGAUGAUCAGUCACACUGGAACUGAGACACGGUCCAGAGUCCUACGGGAGGCAGCAGUGGGGAAUAUUGGACAAUGGGCGAAAGCCUGAGCCAGCCAUGCCGCGUGUGUGAAGAAGGUCUUCGGAUUGUAAAGCACUUUAAGUUGGGAGGAAGGGCAGUAAGUUAAUACCUUGCUGUUUUGACGUUACCAACAGAAUAAGCACCGGCUAACUUCGUG
rnacentral:rRNA from 1 species